AAAAAUUUUUGAUAAUCUGAAACAUGUAAGUAUGACAAAAAUAAAAAAGAAAAUAAAUCUGUGGGGGGAAAAUACUUUUUUGUGCCACUGUACAUGCUGCGUGUUUAACCUAUAGGACAUCACAAAUGUCUUUGUUUUCUCCAAUACUGCCUCAGAGACAGAUUGAAUAGGCUGGAUAUAUAUGUGAAAGGGGCAUAUUUUUACAUCUUUAAUAAAUUUGCUAUACAUUUUUAAUUGUAUUAAUUGUCUUUUCAUGGUGUAAGUGUCAGCAGAGGAGACCGAUCCAAAAGGAAGACAUAGCCCUGAUGCAGAUCAUCCAAAUAGUGAAACUGCAGAUGCAACUCCAGGUAGUGCAGACUACACCAAAAGAGUUCAGAGUAAAGAGCAAUCUGGAACACUGGAAGACAAGGAAGAAAACUCAGUGGUUGGAGCAACAGAAGAAAAUUCAGACCAAUAUGAACCACAACAAAAAAUUAAACAAUUAUUAAUUAAACUUAAUCAUACAGAAAAGUUUAAACAAAAACUGAAAACUGCAGAUGUUCUUAAAAUAAGUAAACCAUGCACAGAGAAUGAUGUGGUGCAAACUU
rnacentral:lncRNA from 1 species